CGGAGUGAAGCGGCCAAAAAGGAUUCAAAAUUUGAAUCUUGUUGUCCUUCCGGGCACAGAGUUGUAAUUUGAGAUACGUUUUCGACGGACAGGCCUGCYUUAAGUCCCUUGGAACAGGGMGUCGCAGAGGGUGAGAAUCCCGUGAACGGUAGGCCUCGAGGCACAUGAUACGUAUUCAACGAGUCGAGUUGUUUGGGAAUGCAGCUCAAAAUGGGUGGUAAAUUUCAUCUAAAGCUAAAUAUUGGGGAGAGACCGAUAGCGCACAAGUAGAGUGAUCGAAAGAUGAAAAGCACUYUGAAAAGAGAGUUAAAAAGUACGUGAAAUUGUUGAAAGGGAAGCGCUUGAGACCAGACUCAAUCUUUGUUGAUCAACUUCAGUUMUCUGUUGUGCACUCUUCAAUCUUUGGGACAGCAUCGGUUCUUGCGGAGGGACAAAGCCUCGGGAAAUGUGGCACUCUUCGGGGUGUGUUAUAGUCCCUUGGGUAAUGCCUCCAGCAGGGUCCGAGGACCGCGCUCCGGCUAGGAUGCUGUCAAAAUGGUCUUCAGCGACCCGUCUUGAAACACGGACCAAGGAGUCUAACAUCUGUGCGAGUAGUUCGGGUGGAAAACCCUUGCGCGUAAUGAAAGUGAACGGAGGUGGGAAUCGUGAGAUGCACCAUCGACCGAUCUCAUGAAGUAUUCCGAAGGAUUUGAGUAUGAGCAUAGCUGUUGGGACCCGAAAGAUGGUGAAYUAUGCCWGAAUAGGGUGAAGCCAGGGGAAACUCUGGUGGAGGCUCGCAGCGGUUCUGACGURCAAAUC
rnacentral:rRNA from 1 species